GAUUGAACGCUGGCGGCAUGCCUUACACAUGCAAGUCGAACGGCAGCACGGGGGCAACCCUGGUGGCGAGUGGCGAACGGGUGAGUAAUGCAUCGGAACGUGUCCUCUUGUGGGGGAUAACCAGUCGAAAGACUGGCUAAUACCGCAUGAGAUCGCAAGAUGAAAAGCAGGGGACCCCGAGGGUAACUUCGGGGCCUUGCGCGAGAGGAGCGGCCGAUGCCCGAUUAGCUAGUUGGUGGGGUAAAAGCCUACCAAGGCGACGAUCGGUAGCUGGUCUGAGAGGACGACCAGCCACACUGGGAC
rnacentral:rRNA from 1 species